AUUGAACGCUGGCGGCAGGCCUAACACAUGCAAGUCGAGCGGAUGAAGGGAGCUUGCUCCUGGAUUCAGCGGCGGACGGGUGAGUAAUGCCUAGGAAUCUGCCUGGUAGUGGGGGAUAACGUCCGGAAACGGGCGCUAAUACCGCAUACGUCCUGAGGGAGAAAGUGGGGGAUCUUCGGACCUCACGCUAUCAGAUGAGCCUAGGUCGGAUUAGCUAGUUGGUGGGGUAAAGGCCUACCAAGGCGACGAUCCGUAACUGGUCUGAGAGGAUGAUCAGUCACACUGGAACUGAGACACGGUCCAGACUCCUACGGGAGGCAGCAGUGGGGAAUAUUGGACAAUGGGAGAAAGCCUGAUCCAGCCAUGCCGCGUGUGUGAAGAAGGUCUUCAGAUUGUAAAGCACUUUAAGUUGGGAGGAAGGGCAGUAAGUUAAUACCUUGCUGUUUUGACGUUACCAACAGAAUAAGCACCGGCUAACUUCGUG
rnacentral:rRNA from 1 species